rnacentral:rRNA from 1 species
CUACGUGCCAGCAGCCGCGGUAAUACGGAAGGUCCGGGCGUUAUCCGGAUUUAUUGGGUUUAAAGGGAGCGUAGGCCGGAGAUUAAGUGUAUUGUGAAAUGUAGACGCUCAACGUCUGACUUGCAGCGCAUACUGGUUUCCUUGAGUACGCACAACGUUGGCGGAAUUCGUCGUGUAGCGGUGAAAUGCUUAGAUAUGACGAAGAACUCCGAUUGCGAAGGCAGCUGACGGGAGCGCAACUGACGCUUAAGCUCGAAGGUGCGGGUAUCGAACAGGAUUAGAUACCCUGGUAGUCCGCACGGUAAACGAUGGAUGCCCGUUGUCAGGCUGUUUCAGCCUGGUGACCAAGCGAAAGCAUUAAGCAUCCCACCUGGGGAGUACGCCGGCAACGGUGAAACUCAAAGGAAUUGACGGGGGCCCGCACAAGCGGAGGAACAUGUGGUUUAAUUCGAUGAUACGCGAGGAACCUUACCCGGGCUUGAAUUGCAGACGAACGAUUCAGAGA